AGAGAUCAACUAUGAAUGUUGUUCUUGUGGAAAUGGCAUGGGGAAUCUAUAAAGCUCAGGAGGGAUAGCACCAUGAAUACAUCUUAAUGGCUAUCUAUAGCGCUAUCCAUCCUGAGUUUUAUGGCUUCUUCAUGCUCGCUUUUGGUGCUUCAUGUUGAUCUUU